CAUAAUCUUCAGACACAUAUCAGGAGUCUUUCGUAAAAGAGUAUCAAAGUUAAAAUGAAUUUCUUGAACAUUUUUGUUUUCAUUGCCGUUAUGCUGGCAGUGUUCACAGCUCAAACCGAAGGCAAAGGCAAACGUAAGGGUGGUGGCGGCGGCGGUAAUCGAGGUCAUGCAUGGAGGGCAGGAGCUCAUGUUGCUGGCAAGGCUGUUGAAGGAGUUGCUGCUGAGGCAGUCCGUCAAAUUGGUUAAAUCUCUGUUUGUUAAUAUCGGUAGGCCACAAUGCUCAUAUUCAAGGGCCUUAAAUAUAUGUUAAAAAAAUAAAUAAAUCUAUUAUUUAAAUAA
rnacentral:sRNA from 1 species